rnacentral:rRNA from 1 species
UACAGAGGUCCCAAGCGUUGUUCGGAUUCACUGGGCGUAAAGGGUGCGUAGGUGGCCAGGUAAGUUCGGUGUGAAAGCUCGGAGCUUAACUCCGAAAUGGCAUUGAAUACUAUCUGGCUAGAGGGUCGGAGGGGAGACUGGAAUUCUCGGUGUAGCAGUGAAAUGCGUAGAUAUCGAGAGGAACACCAGUGGCGAAGGCGAGUCUCUGGACGACUCCUGACACUGAGGCACGAAAGCCAGGGGAGCAAACAGG